rnacentral:tRNA from 1 species
UUAGUAAAAUCUUUAUAAGUAAUAUUUUUGUUAAUAAUAUUUUUGAAAUCUUUUUCUUACUAAG